UCUCUGCCUCUGUUAGUCAGACUGUGGAGGUCCAGCCUGGUGAAGAAGUCACUCUGCUCUGCCCCAACGUAUCCAUCCAUUCAACUCAGUCCGACUGGUUCAGAGUGAUUAACAUAACCAAGCCAAGCUGUGUCUCUUCUAUCUACGGGGCUGCAGGCGAAGCUUCAUACUGUGAUGGGUUUCAACAUGGAACAUUGGAAAUGAGUUCCAACUUGACCACCGUAUUUCUUAAAAUCAAGCAAGUGGAUAUAUCUGACUCUGGACUGUACUUCUGUGGAUUUGACAUAGGCACAAGUACAGUCAUUUCCAGUGCAAUCCAGCUAAAUGUUGAAGGUUAUGUUGAGAUGAAGUGCUCUUCGAGACUAACAGAGACAGUGAAGGAUUUGGAAAAUAC